GCGGAACACGUGUGCAACCUGCCUUUAUCUGGGGGAUAGCCUUUCGAAAGGAAGAUUAAUACCCCAUAAUAUAUUGAAUGGCAUCAUUUGAUAUUGAAAACUCCGGUGGAUAGAGAUGGGCACGCGCAAGAUUAGAUAGUUGGUGAGGUAACGGCUCACCAAGUCAGCGAUCUUUAGGGGGCCUGAGAGGGUGAUCCCCCACACUGGUACUGAGACACGGACCAGACUCCUACGGGAGGCAGCAGUGAGGAAUAUUGGACAAUGGGUGAGAGCCUGAUCCAGCCAUCCCGCGUGAAGGACGACGGCCCUAUGGGUUGUAAACUUCUUUUGUAUAGGGAUAAACUUACCCUCGUGAGGGUAGCUGAAGGUACUAUACGAAUAAGCACCGGCUAACUCCGUGCCAGCAGCCGCGGUAAUACGGAGGGUGCAAGCGUUAUCCGGAUUUAUUGGGUUUAAAGGGUCCGUAGGCUGAUUUGUAAGU
rnacentral:rRNA from 1 species